CGUCGCUGAACUGGAGCUGGGCGAGUCCAGGAAGCGCCGCUCAAGACACCGCGGCUCCGGCUCCAAGUGAGCUCGACGUGCAGAGGUUUCAACUGCCACCGCAAGCUGGCAGAGUGGCGGCAGCUGUGACUCAUGUUCUCUUCUGUGUUCGAUGUUGGUCCUCGAUGGUUCAGCAUCCGGGAAGAAAAUCAGGUCUGUCCCUGGGUUGGAUGCCAGUGAUACCUGAGGUAGCAGUAUGUCUGCGGUGAUGAGGUCACAUGGGUCUGCUCUCGACCUCCAUCCUCUGGUGCGCCUGCACUUCAUAGUCAGAAAUGCUGUUGUUUUCCCAUCUGCUGGCCACGUCCGGAUCAUCCAAUGGUCAAGUGUGGCACAGCGUCUCGGUCGGCAACAUCUCAGCCAUGACAUGCGACCACAGCUACCAGCAGACCACCUCUCUCUCUGGGGUUUUAGCUCCCACACAGCUGAGCAGAGGAUUGAUGAGCUUGGUCGCAACAUUCCAAAACACAGUUCACACGUUCAAUCGAUCAAAGUGAAACAAUAACGCUAUCUGAAUAUUAAAUAUGAAGUAUCAAAGAUCAGGCUGAUAAUCGUGGAAAUUAUAUAUUAUAGGGCCAAUAAUCACAGCAUAUGACGCCAAUAAAUACAAAACACAUAAUUAAUUUACAGCUAUAAUAAUCACCAACUGUAAU